rnacentral:rRNA from 1 species
AGACUUUGAUUCUGGCUCAGGAUGAACGCUAGCUACAGGCUUAACACAUGCAAGUCGCGGGGUAACAUUUGACAGAGCUUGCUCAGUCAAGAUGACGACCGGCGCACGGGUGAGUAACGCGUAUCCAACCUGGCCCAUACCACGGGACAGCCCGUCGAAAGGCGGAUUAAUACCGUAUGCAGUCAUAGACAAGCAUUUGAAUAUGACGAAAGGUUUUGCGGUAUGGGAUGGGGAUGCGUCUGAUUAGCUUGUUGGCGGGGUAACGGCCCACCAAGGCGACGAUCAGUAGGGGUUCUGAGAGGAAGGUCCCCCACAUUGGAACUGAGACACGGUCCAAACUCCUACGGGAGGCAGCAGUGAGGAAUAUUGGUCAAUGGGCGAGAGCCUGAACCAGCCAAGUAGCGUGAGGGAUGACUGCCCUAUGGGUUGUAAACCUCUUUUGUUUGGGAAUAAAGUGCGGGACGUGUCCCGCAUUGCAUGUACCAUUUGAAUAAGGACCGGCUAAUUCCGUGCCAGCGGCCGCGGUAAUACGGAAGGUCCGGGCAUUAUCCGGAUUUAUUGGGUUUAAAGGGAGCGCAGGCCGUGGGCUAAGCGUGCCGUGAAAUUCUGUCGCUCAACGGCAGACGUGCGGCGCGAACUGGUCCACUUGAGUACGCGGGACGUUGGCGGAAUUCGUGGUGUAGCGGUGAAAUGCUUAGAUAUCACGAAGAACUCCGAUUGCGAAGGCAGCUGACGGUAGCGCAACUGACGCUGAGGCUCGAAAGCGCGGGUAUCGAACAGGAUUAGAUACCCUGGUAGUCCGCGCGGUAAACGGUGGAUGCCCGCUGUUUGCCUGUUUUGGUAAGCGGCCAAGCGAAAGCGUUAAGCAUCCCACCUGGGGAGUACGCCGGCAACGGUGCAACUCAAAGGAAUUGA